AAUGCUCCCAUGGCUUCUCCCAAACGACAACUACAAAUUUCUUGGUCGAAGGUCCGUCCCUGACGACCAAGAUCAGCCGGUAAUUGGUGCCGGAAACCACCUGAGUCCAGGCCUUCUCCACGCUCUCGAACUUCAACGCGUUCUUUGACCGUUUGUUGUACUCUGUCACCGCGAACUGCCCGAUCUCCAUCACGUGCUUCUCCGUGGGGUCUAUCGGAGUCCAUCCCCCAAACAUAGGCUUAAACGAGGUGAGACUCUUGAAAUGCUCCCAUGGCUUCUCCCAAACGACAGCUACAAAUUUCUUGGUCGAAGGUCCGUCCUUGACGACCAAGAUCAACCGGUAAUUGGUGCUGGAAACCACUUGAGUCUCGGCCUUCUCAACGCUCUCGAACUUCAACGCGCUCUUUGACCGUUUGUUGUACUCCGUCACCGCGUGCUGCCCGAUCUCCAUCACGUGCUUCUCCGUGGGGUCUAUCGGAGUCCAUCCCCUAGGCAAAGGCUUAAACGAGGUGAGACUCUUGAAAUGCUCCCAUGGCUUCUCCCAAACGACAACUUCAAAUUUCUUGGUCGAAGCUCCGUCCUUGACGACCAAGAUCAGCCGGUAAUUGGUGCCGGAAACCACCUGAGUCCAGGCCUUCUCCACGCUCUCGAACUUCAACGCGCUCUUUGACCGUUUGUUGUACUCUGUCACCGCGAACUGCCCGAUCUCCAUCACGUGCUUCUCCGUGGGGUCUAUCGGAGUCCAUCCCCCAAACAUAGGCUUAAACGAGGUGAGACUCUUGAAAUGCUCCCAUGGCUUCUCCCAAACGACAGCUUCAAAUUUCUUGGUCGAAGGUCCGUCCUUGACGACCAAGAUCAGCCGGUAAUUGGUGCCGGAAACCACCUGAGUCCAGGCGUUCUCCACACUCUCGAACUUCAACGCGCACUUUGACCGUUUGUUG
rnacentral:lncRNA from 1 species